GUGGGGAAUAUUGGACAAUGGGCGAAAGCCUGAUCCAGCCAUGCCGCGUGUGUGAAGAAGGUCUUCGGAUUGUAAAGCACUUUAAGUUGGGAGGAAGGGCAGUAAGUUAAUACCUUGCUGUUUUGACGUUACCGACAGAAUAAGCACCGGCUAACUUCGUGCCAGCAGCCGCGGUAAUACGAAGGGUGCAAGCGUUAAUCGGAAUUACUGGGCGUAAAGCGCGCGUAGGUGGUUUUGUAAGUUGGAGGUGAAAUCCCCGGGCUCAACCUGGGAACUGCCUCCAAAACUGCAUGACUAGAGUACGGUAGAGGGUAGUGGAAUGUUCUGUGUAGCGGUGAAAUGCGUAGAUAUAGGAAGGAACACCAGUGGCGAAGGCGACUACCUGGACUGAUACUGACACUGAGGUGCGAAAGCGUGGGGAGCAAACAGGAUUAGAAACCCGAGUAGUCC
rnacentral:rRNA from 1 species